rnacentral:lncRNA from 1 species
GAAACUGGACAAACCUAUUUGGAAAUGUGAAUGUCUUCCCCCGCCCCCCACUCCCAGCCCCCUGCAUCCUGCUGAAGGCCCCAAAGUUCUGGAGAUAACAAGUUUGCCUCAUCUCUGCCCUCAUUGAGAGCCUUCCCAGGCUCCUCUGGCCGUCAUGCAAGGAGGUUUCUGAGAGACGUGUCUUACUUUUCUCAUAGCUCGUAUCUAUGCCUACAGACUGUGAUCAAAUGGGAUGCUUCUUAGCUAAAGUCCAAAGCUCAGUAGAGUGUUCACAUUCUCCGUUCUUAGGAAACACACGCAUCAGUCAGCACCAAGGGGGUUGGGCGGAGAGGGUCAGCUAGAAUUCAAGGAGAUGACCCGUAGAGAAAGAGCUCUUUCCUCCCACACCUCCCACUGGCUUUGGCCUCACUGUAUUUUUUUUUGCAAAGGGCUUUGAAGACACAAGUGAAAGAAAUCUCAGUGGUCGGAAGCCAGAGAAAGGCAGCUGCCAAGGGAAGAUUAGUCCCAAGGAACAGAGAAAGAACACCCGCGAGCAGGGUGACGUCAUACGGAAGAAGGGCAGAAGAAGGGUUGUCUGAGUCCCGGAUCUUCUGCCACCGUUUUAAGCAACCCAUUUAAUUAAAGUUGUGUCUCUUGCUGGCAUGAGAGCAAUGGAAGUGUCAGUUUGCUUGUCAGAGGCUCCUUUGCCUGGAGCAUAGAUCAGAGCCUGGGUGGCCGUGUGCCAGGCUUCUCUCCAGCACAGAUGGGAAGGCCAGGGGUAAUUACCCUGCCCUGGCCACUUGCCUUCCUGUGUGAAAUUAUAGAAAAGUAGGAGACAGUGUCUCCACCCGAUUCUUAUCCUUCAUCAUUUCCAGGGAAGGGAUAAAGACAAGCACACACCUCGAUCUCAUGCAGGCAGGAAGGCUGCCUGGAACCUCUCCCCUCUAAGGACAGUUUUGGAGGAGGACAAGCCUGCUGUGGAGUG